rnacentral:tRNA from 1 species
GCGUUUUUAGUUUAAUUGGAUAAAACAUCAAUCUUCUAAGUUGGGUAAUGAGGGUUCGAAUCCUUCAAGACGCA